rnacentral:rRNA from 1 species
GAUGAACGCUAGCGGCAGGCCUAAUACAUGCAAGUCGAACGGGAUCCAGAUCAAAGCUUGCUUUGGUCUGGUGAGAGUGGCGCACGGGUGCGUAACGCGUGAGCAACCUACCCUUGUCAGGGGGAUAGCCCGGCGAAAGUCGGAUUAAUACCGCAUGACAUCAUUGAGAGGCAUCUUUCGAUGAUCAAAGAAUUUAUUCGGACAAGGAUGGCUCGCGUGACAUUAGCUAGUUGGUAAGGUAACGG